rnacentral:rRNA from 1 species
UACGUAGGGGGCUAGCGUUGUCCGGAUUUAUUGGGCGUAAAGAGCGUGUAGGCGGCCAGGUAGGUCUGGUGUGAAAACUCGAGGCUUAACCUCGAGAUGUCAUCGGAAACCAUCUGGCUAGAGUCCGGAAGAGGAGAGUGGAAUUCCUGGUGUAGCGGUGAAAUGCGCAGAUAUCAGGAAGAACACCAAUGGCGAAGGCAGCCUCCUGGGCCAACACUGACGCUCAUGCACGAAAGCGUGGGGAGCAAACAGG